ACUUAGGGUUUUAUCUGACAGAAUUCUAGGAGUUUUGGUGUUUGUCUAUUUCUGCAGGGGGUUAUCAGGAAAUACGAAAGAAAGGCCCACACGUCGGGUUUACAUAGAGAUAUUAACGCGCCGCGCAAUUUUCUAUCAUCUAGAAGACUCCAGAAGCCAAGGGACCGAAGCGGAGGCCGAGAGGGCUCAGGCACAGGGCGCCCGCCCUAGUCCCUUGGGCGCCCGCCCUCCCCCCUGGACCAAUCAGGGCGAUGUUCGGGGAUCAUGCUCCACCGACUUAAUACUUCAAGGAAAACCACACGAUCAAUGUCGGUUUGAUCCGACGGCCCAGAUUCACUUGAAGGGACUAUAAAACCAGACCCCCC
rnacentral:lncRNA from 1 species